GAUUUUCAAGCUCAGCUGGGAGAGUACCAUCUUGACAGAGUGGGGGUCGCUUGUUUGAACCCAGUCCGGAUCACCA
rnacentral:tRNA from 2 species